AUUGAACGCUGGCGGCGUGCCUAAUACAUGCAAGUCGAACGCAGUGGGGCCGGGUGAGUAACACGUGGGUAACCUCCCAUCAGAGGGGAUAACACUUGGCAACAGGUGCUAAACCGAUACUGAUGGAUGGACCCGCGGUGCAUUAGCUAGUUGGGGAGGUAACGGCUCACCAAGGCAACGAUGCAUAGCGGACCUGAGAGGGUGAGCGGCCGCACGAGGACUGAGACACGGCCCAGACUCCUACGUGAGGAAGCAGUAGGGAAUCUUCGGCAAUGGACGAAAGUCUGACCGAGCAACGCCGAGUGAGGGAAGAAGGUUUUCGGAUCGUAAAAGUCUGUUGUUAGAGAAGCGGUAUCUAACCAGAAAGCCACGGCUAACUACGUGCCAGCAGCCGCGGUAAUUC
rnacentral:rRNA from 1 species